AGCCUUCUGUAUCCGUGCUGAGAUUUCGUCAGCGACCAAUCCGCUAGCGUUGGCCGAUGCAACUUCCAAAAUAAGUAAAGUG
rnacentral:pre_miRNA from 1 species